AUUGAACGCUGGCGGCAGGCCUAACACAUGCAAGUCGAGCGGAUGACGGGAGCUUGCUCCUUGAUUCAGCGGCGGACGGGUGAGUAAUGACUAGGAAUCUGCCUGGUAGUGGGGGACAACGUUUCGAAAGGAACGCUAAUACCGCAUACGUCCUACGGGAGAAAGCAGGGGACCUUCGGGCCUUGCGCUAUCAGAUGAGCCUAGGUCGGAUUAGCUAGUUGGUGGGGUAAUGGCUCACCAAGGCGACGAUCCGUAACUGGUCUGAGAGGAUGAUCAGUCACACUGGAACUGAGACACGGUCCAGACCCCUACGGGAGGCAGCAGUGGGGAAUAUUGGACAAUGGGCGAAAGCCUGAUCCAGCCAUGCCGCGUGUGUGAAGAAGGUCUUCGGAUUGUAAAGCACUUUAAGUUGGGAGGAAGGGCAGUAAGUUAAUACCUUGCUGUUUUGACGUUACCGGCAGAAUAAGCACCGGCUAACUCUGUGCCAGCCGCCGCCGUAA
rnacentral:rRNA from 1 species